UACGUAGGGGGCUAGCGUUGUCCGGAAUCAUUGGGCGUAAAGAGCGUGUAGGCGGCCCGGUAAGUCCGCCGUAAAAGUCAAAGGCUCAACCUUUGAAUGUCAGUGGAUACUGCCGGGCUAGAGUCCGGAAGAGGCGAGUGGAACUCCUGGUGUAGCGGUGGAAUGCGCAGAUAUCAGGAAGAACACCAACGGCGAAGGCAGCUCGCUGGGACGGUACUGACGCUGAGACGCGAAAGCGUGGGGAGCGAACAGG
rnacentral:rRNA from 1 species